rnacentral:rRNA from 1 species
CGCGAAGAACCUUACCUGGCCUUGACAUGCAGAGAACUUUCCAGAGAUGGAUUGGUGCCUUCGGGAACUCUGACACAGGUGCUGCAUGGCUGUCGUCAGCUCGUGUCGUGAGAUGUUGGGUUAAGUCCCGUAACGAGCGCAACCCUUGUCCUUAGUUGCCAGCNCUU